AGAGUUUGAUCCUGGCUCAGGAUGAACGCUAGCGGCAGGCUUAACACAUGCAAGUCGAGGGGUAGCAGGGUAGCAAUACCGCUGACGACCGGCGCACGGGUGAGUAUCGCGUAUGCAACCUACCUUUAACUGGAGAAUAGCUUCGAGAAAUCGGAAUUAAUACUCCAUAACAUUUCAGAAAGGCAUCUUUCAGAAAUUAAAGUUCCGACGGUUAAAGAUGGGCAUGCGUAACAUUAGCUGGUUGGUGAGGUAACGGCUCACCAAGGCUACGAUGUUUAGGGGGUCUUAAAGGAUGAUCCCCCACACUGGUACUGAGACACGGACCAGACUCCUACGGGAGGCAGCAGUGAGGAAUAUUGGUCAAUGGACGCAAGUCUGAACCAGCCAUGCCGCGUGCAGGAUGAAGGCCUUACAGGUCGUAAACUGCUUUUAUACGGGACGAAACCCUUGAACGUGUUCGAGGCUGACGGUACUGUAUGAAUAAGCAUCGGCUAACUCCGUGCCAGCAGCCGCGGUAAUACGGAGGAUGCAAGCGUUAUCCGGAUUUAUUAGGUUUAAAGGGUGCGUAGGCGGAAUAAUAAGUCAGUGGUGAAAUCCUGCAGCUUAACUGUAGAACUGCCAUUGAAACUGCUAUUCUUGAGUCUAGUUGAAGUGGGCGGAAUGUGUCAUGUAGCGGUGAAAUGCAUAGAUAUGACACAGAACACCGAUUGCGAAGGCAGCUCACUAAACUACAACUGACGCUGAGGCACGAAAGCGUGGGGAUCAAACAGGAUUAGAUACCCUGGUAGUCC
rnacentral:rRNA from 1 species